CUAUUAUGAGGUCAGGGUCAUUUAUAAGAAAAGUACUGGUUUCAUGUAAGCAUCUCAAACCUGUCUUUUCUCAAGAUGUAGGUAUCUGUGUGACGGAGUGCCGUGUAGACCAGGACUGUGGGGAAGGAAGACUAUGCAUCAGUAAUGGGUGUGGCCGUGUCUGCUUCCCAGGGCGAAGAGAGGCCUGCGAGCACCAGUGCAGAGAAGACAGGGACUGUGGGAGUGGACAUCAGUGCGUGAGGAAGGGCUGUGGGCACGUCUGCGCCCCCGUCCAUCAAGUCGAUGUAGGUAUCUGUGUGACGGAGUGCCGUGUAGACCAGGACUGUGGGGAAGGAAGACUAUGCAUCAGUAAUGGGUGUGGCCGUGUCUGCUUCCCAGGGCGAAGAGAGGGCUGCGAGCACCAGUGCAGAGAAGACAGGGACUGUGGGAGUGGACAUCAGUGCGUGAGGAAGGGCUGUGGGCACGUCUGCGCCCCCGUCCAUCAAGUCGGUAUCUGUGUGACGGAGUGCAACGUAGACCAGGACUGUGGGGAAGGAAGACAAUGCACCAGCAAUGGAUGUGGCCGGGUCUGCUCCCCAGUCCGGCGAGAAGAUGUAGGUAUCUGUGUGACGGAGUGCAAGGUAGACCAGGACUGUGGGGAAGGAAGACGAUGCACCAGCAAUGGGUGUGGCCGUGUCUGCUCCCCAGUCCAGCAAAAAGAGGCCUGCGAGCACCAAUGCAGAGAAGACAAGGACUGUGGGAGUGGACAUCAGUGCGUGAGGAAGGGCUGUGGGCACGUCUGCUCCCCCAUCCCUCAAGUAGGUAUCUGUGUGACGGAGUGCAAUGUAGACCAGGACUGUGGGGCAGGAAGACGAUGCACCAGCAAUGGAUGUGGCCGGGUCUGCUCCCCACCCCAGGGAGGAGGACUCUGUGUGGACCGCUGCCGAGGAAACUGGGACUGUGGGGCCGGAGAAGAAUGUAUCAGGAAGGGAUGUGGACGGGUCUGCUCUCCAGCCCAGGAGCCAGGUAAGAGCCCUGCCUAGGUCUCCAACCCCACACAACCCAGGAGGGGACUGUGUGCUUACCUCUGCCUGGACUCCCCUUCCUUAGAGGGUUAAUUCCCA
rnacentral:lncRNA from 1 species